rnacentral:rRNA from 1 species
CAGCAGCCGCGGUAAUACGAGGGGGGCAAGCAUUGUUCGGAAUUAUUGGGCGUAAAGGGCGCGUAGGCGGUUUGGCAAGUUUGGUGUGAAAUCUUCGGGCUCAACUCGAAGUCUGCAUCGAAAACUGCCGGGCUUGAGUAUGGGAGAGGUGAGUGGAAUUUCCGGUGUAGCGGUGAAAUGCGUAGAUAUCGGAAGGAACACCUGUGGCGAAAGCGGCUCACUGGACCAUUACUGACGCUGAGGCGCGAAAGCUAGGGGAGCAAACAGGAUUAGAUACCCCGGUAGUCCCUGUCUCUUAUAA